GCGAUCGAUGACGUCAGACGCUCAGAAUUUUAAUUUAAACGAUGGCCUAAUCAAGACUAGAAAAACAGUUUGAAGAAAUGACCAGACCUAGAGCUAAGCUGAGAUACUGUUAUGAACAGACCGGCUUCCUCCUUUAUGACUGUACAACUGCUGUUCAAGCCCUGCUUUCCUGAUCAGCCAUGAACGCAUUGCGACCGAUGUCCUGGUUUGCCUGUGUGAUCCUGCAUGAACUCAUUAUGAACGACAUGGUGUUCUCCUAGUCUCAUCCUCCAUGAACUCGUUAUGAACGACAUGGUGUUCUCUUUGUCUCAUCCUCCAUGAACUUAUUAUGAAUGAUGUUGUUGUCUCCAUAGCUGAUUCUCCUUGAACUUGUGACUGCUGUAGUGUUUUUAUCUGGUCCUCCUUGAAUGCAUUGCCACUGAUGUUCUGGCUUGCCUGUAUGGUAUUGCAAGAACUCAUUGCCACUUAUGUCCUGGUUUGCCUGUGCGAUCCUCCUUGAACCCAUUGAUCGCAUUGUGACUGAUGUUCUGGCUUGCCUGUGUGGUAUUCCAUGGACUCAUUGUCACUGAUGCCCUGGUGUGCCUGUGUGAUCCUCUUUGAACUCCUUGAUUGCAUUGUCACUGAUGCCCUGACUUGCCAUUGUGAUCCUCCUUGAACUCCUUGUGAAGGACGUGGUGUUCCAGUCUGAUCCUCCUUGAUCGCAUUGUCAUUGAUGUCCUGGCUUGCCUGUGUGGUACUCUAUGAACGCAUUGUCACUGGUGUUAUGCCCAACUUGCCUGAUCCUUCUAGAACGCACUGAGACUGGAUAGUUCUUGUCGUCUGCAUCUACACUGUCUGCCAUUUCAACACACAUUUAAUACUGAUACAGAUAAAAGGAGGUAUACAGCCCUUGCUACCUGUUGAUUACGUCAUUAUCUAAGGAAAUGCGUCACCUGACGUCUCGUAAUCUGUAACGCCGCAUACAUCCCCGUGUAGUGACGUAACAUAAAUCAGCUGAGAGAAGAGUGAUGUCAGGGUACAAAGAAUCUCUCAAGUUUUCAGAAUGCUGGACAUAUUUCAAUGUUAAGUUGCUGUUUUUGUUUUUUGUUUGAUGAUUAUGAAUGCAUACAUCAGUUCUGAAGUGUCGCCGUAGUCCCUUUGCUUGCAUGUCAAUAAACGUAGUGCCUUGGCCUGAUUCAUUUACACCAAAGUGAGCUGAAUAUUAUCACAUACUUUUAUUACAUUGAAUACACUACAAGAUAAGAUAGACAAGUUAUUCAUUCAGUUAUUAAGGCCACAUGACCAAGAUAACUACUUUUAAAACAAAUGAAUCGUGCGCUGCGUGUGUACACAUUACAAUACAUGUAUAAUCAAUUUAAACUGGCAGAUUCUUUUUAAAACAAGGCUAUUCCUUUAAUACACUUUAUAGUUUUGGUGGAAAUUAAUAAAUUAUUUUUUUCUGUUGGAAGGAUUUACUAUAACGGAUUCGGAUAUGAAAUAUUUCCUGCUCAAAGCAUAAUAUGGACAUACUAAAAGAAACUGAUAUUCAUCUUCCUCUUGACUGAGAUUACACUAGUUUCAUUUCUUUCUAUUACUGGAUUAUAUCUGCUUUUCUGUACUUUUAAUUUAUGUUACAAACACCUAAAUUUAGAAAACAUUCUCUACAGAUCCUUAUAUUAUGACAGAUAUUAUAUAUACUUUCCUGUUUCUAAAAGUUAUUUAUAAAAAGAAUAUGCCUUUUAAAAAUUACAAGAAUUAAUUUUAUCAUACCAGUGUUGAAAAUGAAUGUCUUUACAUCUCUGUACAAAGCUGGUCAUAAAUAACUUGAUACCAGGGCCGUAGUUAGCGGAAAGCAUUAUAGAAACUUAA